rnacentral:rRNA from 1 species
GCGUGCAGGAUGAAGGCCCUCGGGUUGUAAACUGCUUUUGUACGGAACGAAAAGCCUGGGGCUAAUAUCCCCGGGUCAUGACGGUACCGUAAGAAUAAGCACCGGCUAACUACGUGCCAGCAGCCGCGGUAAUACGUAGGGUGCAAGCGUUAAUCGGAAUUACUGGGCGUAAAGCGUGCGCAGGCGGUUUUGUAAGACAGUGGUGAAAUCCCCGGGCUCAACCUGGGAACUGCCAUUGUGACUGCAAGGCUAGAGUGCGGCAGAGGGGGAUGGAAUUCCGCGUGUAGCAGUGAAAUGCGU